rnacentral:rRNA from 1 species
CAAUAGCGUAUAUUUAAGUUGUUGCAGUUAAAAAGCUCGUAGUUGGAUUUGUGGUGUACUUCGGCGGCCCGUCACUAUGUGAUGGAGCUUGCUGAAGUCGCCAUCCUUGGGUGGAUCCUGUGUGGCAUUAAGUUGUCGUGCAGGGGAUGCCCAUCGUUUACUGUGAAAAAAUUAGAGUGUUCAAAGCAGGCUUAUGCCGUUGAAUAUAUUAGCAUGGAAUAAUAAGAUAGGACCUUGGUACUAUUUUGUUGGUUUGCGCACCAAGGUAAUGAUUAAUAGGGACAGUUGGGGGUAUUCGUAUUUCAUUGUCAGAGGUGAAAUUCUUGGAUUUUUGAAAGACGAACUACUGCGAAAGCAUUUACCAAGGAUGUUUUCAUUAA